GACGAACGCUGGCGGCGUGCCUAAUACAUGCAAGUAGAACGCUGAAGAGAGGAGCUUGCUCUUCUUGGAUGAGUUGCGAACGGGUGAGUAACGCGUAGGUAACCUGCCUUGUAGCGGGGGAUAACUAUUGGAAACGAUAGCUAAUACCGCAUAACAAUGGAUGACACAUGUCAUUUAUUUGAAAGGGGCAAUUGCUCCACUACAAGAUGGACCUGCGUUGUAUUAGCUAGUAGGUGAGGUAACGGCUCACCUAGGCGACGAUACAUAGCCGACCUGAGAGGGUGAUCGGCCACACUGGGACUGAGACACGGCCCAGACUCCUACGGGAGGCAGCAGUAGGGAAUCUUCGGCAAUGGGGGCAACCCUGACCGAGCAACGCCGCGUGAGUGAAGAAGGUUCUCGGAUCGUAAAGCUCUGUUGUAAGUCAAGAACGAGUGUGAGAGUGGAAAGUUCACACUGUGACGGUAGCUUACCAGAAAGGGACGGCUAACUACGUGCCAGCAGCCGCGGUAAUACGUAGGUCCCGAGCGUUGUCCGGAUUUAUUGGGCGUAAAGCGAGCGCAGGCGGUUUGAUAAGUCUGAAGUUAAAGGCUGUGGCUCAACCAUAGUUCGCUUUGGAAACUGUCAAACUUGAGUGCAGAAGGGGAGAGUGGAAUUCCAUGUGUAGCGGUGAAAUGCGUAGAUAUAUGGAGGAACACCGGUGGCGAAAGCGGCUCUCUGGUCUGUAACUGACGCUGAGGCUCGAAAGCGUGGGGAGCGAACAGGAUUAGAUACCCUGGUAGUCCACGCCGUAAACGAUGAGUGCUAGGUGUUGGAUCCUUUCCGGGAUUCAGUGCCGCAGCUAACGCAUUAAGCACUCCGCCUGGGGAGUACGACCGCAAGGUUGAAACUCAAAGGAAUUGACGGGGGCCCGCACAAGCGGUGGAGCAUGUGGUUUAAUUCGAAGCAACGCGAAGAACCUUACCAGGUCUUGACAUCCCGAUGCUAUUUCUAGAGAUAGAAAGUUACUUCGGUACAUCGGUGACAGGUGGUGCAUGGUUGUCGUCAGCUCGUGUCGUGAGAUGUUGGGUUAAGUCCCGCAACGAGCGCAACCCCUAUUGUUAGUUGCCAUCAUUCAGUUGGGCACUCUAGCGAGACUGCCGGUAAUAAACCGGAGGAAGGUGGGGACGACGUCAAAUCAUCAUGCCCCUUAUGACCUGGGCUACACACGUGCUACAAUGGUUGGUACAACGAGUUGCGAGUCGGUGACGGCAAGCUAAUCUCUUAAAGCCAAUCUCAGUUCGGAUUGUAGGCUGCAACUCGCCUACAUGAAGUCGGAAUCGCUAGUAAUCGCGGAUCAGCACGCCGCGGUGAAUACGUUCCCGGGCCU
rnacentral:rRNA from 1 species